GUUGUUUUUCUGAAAAUUAAUUAAAGAACUGUUUAUGCUAAGCUGUUUAGACUUUAUCAGCUAUCUGUUUAGUUUUGAGCUUUUCUUUAAUGCACUUUUCAGUUAACAAGUCAACAUCAAUUUCUUUUGCUGUAAAAAAGCUUGAGGAAGGUGGCUUGAGAUUCGUCUUAAGUGUUUAUAGCCUCUUGCCUAUGCAGUCGGAGAGAUUGAGGUCUGCAGCGUAGAUCCUUCGGGGCUAAAUGCAUUUGUGCUAAGUUAUAGCAUUUUAUAGACAACUUGUUGACUAUGAUUUGUCUUGUAGCUUACUCGCUUAUGUUAUUUUACCUAC
rnacentral:rRNA from 1 species